UACGUAGGGCGCAAGCGUUGUCCGGAAUUAUUGGGCGUAAAGAGCUCGUAGGCGGCCUGUUGCGUCCGCUGUGAAAUCCCGGGGCUUAACCCCGGGCGUGCAGUGGAUACGGGCAGGCUGGAGGCAGGCAGGGGAGAACGGAAUUCCCGGUGUAGCGGUGAAAUGCGCAGAUAUCGGGAGGAACACCGGUGGCGAAGGCGGUUCCCUGGGCCUGUACUGACGCUGAGGAGCGAAAGCGUGGGGAGCGAACAGG
rnacentral:rRNA from 1 species